CCGGCGGCCGGGACGUGGAUGCCGAUCCGGCCGCCGGGACCGGUCUCGGCACUGGCCAGCGCCCGUUCGAGUUGGGUGCGGUCGGU
rnacentral:tRNA from 1 species